rnacentral:rRNA from 1 species
AUGGGGCGAUGGGAGCCACACCGCUUCGUCCGUCUGUGCAGCCUUGAGCAACCCGGGCAGAGCAGCCGCCGCCGCGGGGUACUGCGUCGAGCCGCUGCCGCCACCGGAGUGUAUGCGCCAUGGAGGCGUGGCGUGCGCCAGCGGCGGCCACGAGGCGUGCACCAGCAGCGGCCAUGGGGCGUUCGCCAGCAGCGGUGCCGCUCCACCCUGCUGGCUCGCUACGACCACGGGGAGCCUGGCAGAUCUGAACCAGCUGUGCCCGACGGCGGCGGCAUCUCCUGCAAGAGCGUGUGCGGCCCGUUUGGGCAGCCUAAGGAUUGCUCCAUGGUGGUGGGGAAGCGCAGGUGCAUCGGCGGGGUGUCCACGGCUUCAGCUGCUUGCGGCUAUGGUGACAGCUUGUGA